rnacentral:lncRNA from 1 species
UUACAUUUAGCCACGUUUUUGGAGUUUAUUCAGAUGCACACUCAGAAUUCAUUGAGCCAAAUAUUUCCAGUUUGCACGCAGCUCUAUAGGCACUUUGGAACUUGCAUUAGACUUUCCAAGUGUUGCUGUUCUCAUUAAAGAGAGUCUGGCUAGAAACUGUAGAAACUAUCUUCUUAAAAGAAUUCCCCAGCAUGCGCUGGGUGUAAUGAAAUUCUCUGCUAAAAACAUUCUGAAAUCUCAUCGCAUUUUCUCCAUAAAUCAUGGUUUAUCAAAUUUUCAUUACUAGUGUAUUUGCAAAAUCAAUAAAAUACUCUGUUGGAAACCUGUGAUAAAAUCUUUACCAUAAUUUUAACUGUUAUUUUAUGCAGCAAUGAUUUGCUAAAUAAAAACUUGACAUUCUCUAUGAGCAUCUAUUAAUCACCAUAGAUUUCACUAUGGAAAUAUAUCUAAAUUUCACUUAGAUUUCACUAAGGAAAUCUGGCUCAGUCACAGGAGGUAGACAAUUGACUAUUUAUAUUAAUUAUGUUAAUAGUAUUUAUUAAUUGAUUAUAUAGCUUCAAUGAGGGUGUGAAGAUUCAAAGAUUAAUGUUGUAUAGUUAAGGGGCAUUGCAUGUACUCAGCAAGUGGAGAACUAUAGUUGUUGAGCAUGUGAAUUAA